UACGUAGGGGGCAAGCGUUGUCCGGAAUCAUUGGGCGUAAAGCGCGCGUAGGCGGCUAGCUCAGUCUGCUGUAAAAGUCAAAGGCUCAACCUUUGAAAGCCGGUGGAUACUGUCUAGCUAGAGUCCGGAAGAGGCGAGUGGAAUUCCUGGUGUAGCGGUGGAAUGCGCAGAUAUCAGGAGGAACACCAACGGCGAAGGCAGCUCGCUGGGACGGUACUGACGCUAAGGCGCGAAAGCGUGGGGAGCGAACAGG
rnacentral:rRNA from 1 species